GGCGAACCGUGCAAACGUUAUUCGGAAUCACUGGGCAUAAAGGGCGCGUAGGCGGCUCCAAAAGUCAGGGGUGAAAUCCGGCAGCUUAACUGUCGCAGUGCCUUUGAUACUGUGGAGCUAGAGGGAGGUAGGGGUCUGUGGAACUUCCGGUGGAGCGGUGAAAUGCGUUGAUAUCGGAAGGAACGCCGGUGGCGAAAGCGACGGACUGGAUCUCAUCUGACGCUGAGGCGCGAAAGCCAGGGGAGCAAACGGG
rnacentral:rRNA from 1 species